UAGCCAGACCCUCCUCCGCAGCGCCGUGGAGGAAGGUCUGGCAAUGCGAGACUACGUCAGACCUGUAUUUGAUGUUAGUGACUUGACUUAGACUGCAAUAACUUGAAAAGUGUCUCCAAAAUAAUUCAAAAAGGCCAUAAUGGUGUUUGUACCAAAAGGCCAGCCACCCUGCUGCAUGGGAGCAAGUAUCUUGUUGAGACAACGCUACGCAGUGAGGUUUAGACAUGAUUGGACAUGCUAAAGCUCACAUGCCUUUGUGUGAUUUUGUCAUAUCAUCUCACAUCUCUAGCUUGCCAGCACAGUUGCUGGGAUGUCAGACACAAAACAAAACCCAAGCUUUAAACAACAGCAAACUCCUCUGAGAAACCCAUAGUCGUUUUGGCUGACUGGUGUGUAUUACUUUGUAUAAAAGUACUGUUUAUAAAAACAAUGUAUGAAAUACAUGUAUUAGGUGUAGUUGUAAGCUCCUGAAUGAGGUUAGAUGUUUACCUUUUUAAAAUGCUUUGUUGAAUGCUAUAAAGACUGAGUUGGGUGAGUAAUACAGAGGCUAACUUCAUUAACGUCACUGGGUUUACUCAACAGGUGUGUCGACCAGAAGUCUACUUUGGCAACACAAAUAGUGAAAUGACACUAUUAUUGCAUUACACAUCAUAACAUUUGGUUUGUUGUUGGAAUUACUCAUAUGAGAUGAUGAGUUAUUGCCAAAAUAGGCAUUUAAAAAUAGGUCAAACUUUAUAGUAUAAGAGUGACCUCUUAUUUAACAUGCACAGGUGUUAGGAACUCUGUAGGGAACAUACAAAAUGUAAGGGCAGUGGUAUUCAACAAUAAAUAACAUAAUAGUAA